GACGGAGCUUAGAGAGCUUGCUUUUUAAGCUUAGUGGCGAACGGGUGAGUAACGCGUGAGUAACCUGCCCUAGAGUGGGGGACAACAGUUGGAAACGACUGCUAAUACCGCAUAAGCCCACGGUGCCGCAUGGCACUGAGGGAAAAGGAUUUAUUCGCUUUAGGAUGGACUCGCGUCCGAUUAGCUAGUUGGUGAGGUAAUGGCCCACCAAGGCAACGAUCGGUAGCCGGACUGAGAGGUUGAACGGCCACAUUGGGACUGAGACACGGCCCAGACUCCUACGGGAGGCAGCAGUGGGGAAUAUUGCACAAUGGGGGAAACCCUGAUGCAGCGACGCCGCGUGGAGGAAGAAGGUCUUCGGAUUGUAAACUCCUGUUGUUGAGGAAGAUAAUGACGGUACUCAACAAGGAAGUGACGGCUAACUACGUGCCAGCAGCCGCGGUAAAACGUAGGUCACAAGCGUUGUCCGGAAUUACUGGGUGUAAAGGGAUCGCAGGCGGGAAGACAAGUUGGAAGUGAAAUCUAUGGGCUCAACCCAUAAACUGCUUUCAAAACUGUUUUUCUUGAGUAGUGCAGAGGUAGGCGGAAUUCCCGGUGUAGCGGUGGAAUGCGUAGAUAUCGGGAGGAACACCAGUGGCGAAGGCGGCCUACUGGGCACCAACUGACGCUGAGGCUCGAAAGUGUGGGUAGCAAACAGGAUUAGAUACCCUGGUAGUCCACACCGUAAACGAUGAUUACUAGGUGUU
rnacentral:rRNA from 1 species